UCCAUCAGGCUGUGACUCCCGUCUUCGUCGCGUCUCUCGUCUUCUCCGUCUCAAAACCUUCCUCUUCUUCGUCCCCGCCUUCCAAGUUCCAAUAUUUGUUAUCCACCUGCCAUUUUCUUCUUCUCUAUCAUCUUCUUUAUCUCUUACUUUGACGUGUUUUGCUUCUCCGGCCUUCUUCGGCGUCCUCCCAGACAGGCGGUUCGUUGUCGUCGGCGUCUUCUACGAGUUCGUAGGAAGCUCUGUCGACUACGGAAAAAUGUUUCUCAAGACUCAGUUGUCAUGGGAUUUAAUGAUCCCUUCCGAAAGCCUCGAUUGCUCUUCCGGAAAAAUGCUUCAGAAGGCCGUUCUAGUUUGCCUCAUGGCCGAGGUUGCCGAGAGGAAGGCCUCCAUAGAAAGUGGCAUUUUCGUUGCCGUCAAAGAUAUCCACAGCAUCGGGGAAGGAAAAAUCAGGACGCAUCCCGGGAAUUUCAUAUUUCCGGUGAAGUUCAGCUGCAUCACUUUCAAGAUGCUUCCGGGAGAGGUGUUGGAAGGCACCGUUUACAAAGUUAUAAAGCACGGAGUCUUUUUGACAUGCGGCCCCGCGGACAAAGUUUACCUUUCUCAUCGAACAAUGUCUGAAUACGAGUACUUUCCUGGCGAGCCUCCCUUCUUCAAGAACUUGAAAUCAGUGAAGAUAGAAAAAGGCACGGUGGUGCGAUUUGUUGUUCUUGGACAUAAGUUCGAUGAGGCCGAGAAAGAGUUUCGAACAGUUGUUAGCUUGGAUGCCUUGGAGGAUUAUUAUCUUGGACCGGUCCCUUCUUAAUCGAAACAUUCUGUAAUGGAUCUCCACAACUUCUGCAAUCAUUGAUCAUCGAUAACAUGACAUGCUUUUAUGAAAAUGCAUUCGAGGUUCGGAAUUUUCUUCUUCUUCUUCUUCUUCAUCGAGGUAUGUAUGUUUUGUUAUUGUGAACUUAAUUUUCUUGAGCUGAAAAGAAAAGUCUUUUGGAAUAUAUGUGGAAGGAAUUGAUUGUUUUGAGUUGGCCCUUUUGUUGUGGUUUUUGGGGCUUAUUGUGUUUAGAUAAGAUUGGAUUCCAUUGAUAAACGAAUAUGAAGACUUGGAUCAUACGAAUAUGUUCUAUAGUAUAGCUGUUGAUGUGAUUUUAAAAAAUAUCAAGACUUGGAUUCCAUGUU